GCCAGCAUGGUGUAGUGGUUUGAGCAUGCGACUGUGACUCUGGAGACUAGAGUUUGAAUCCCUGCUCAAGCG